GAGUUCUGGGCCGCACGCGCGCUACACUGACAGAGCCAGCGAGUACUCCCUUGGCCGGAAGGUCCGGGUAAUCUUGUUAAACUCUGUCGUGCUGGGGAUAGAGCAUUGCAAUUAUUGCUCUUCAACGAGGAAUCCCUAGUAAGCGCAAGUCAUCAGCUUGCGUUGAUUACGUCCCUGCCCUUUGUACACACCGCCCGUCGCUACUACCGAUCGAAUGGCUCAGUGAGGCUUUCGGACUGGCCCAGAGAGGUCGGCAACGACCACUCAGGGCCGGAAAGUUAUCCAAACUCGGUCAUUUAGAGGAAGUAAAAGUCGUAACAAGGUCUCCGUUGGUGAACCAGCGGAGGGAUCAUUACAAGAAGCCGAAAGGCUACUUAAAACCAUCGCGAACUUAUCCAAGUUGCUUCGGCGGCGCGGCUCCCCUCACGGGGGACCGCAGCCCCCGCCUCUCAGGAGGUAAGGGGCAGCCGCCGGAGGUACGAAACUCUGUAUUAUAGUGGUAUCUCUGAGUAUAAAACAAAUAAGUUAAAACUUUCAACAACGGAUCUCUUGGUUCUGGCAUC
rnacentral:rRNA from 1 species